UACGGGGGGGGCAAGCGUUGUUCGGAAUUACUGGGCGUAAAGGGCUCGUAGGUGGCCAACUAAGUCAGACGUGAAAUCCCUCGGCUUAACCGGGGAACUGCGUCGGAUACUGGAUGGCUUGAAUUCGGGAGAGGGAUGCAGAAUUCCAGGUGUAGCGGUGAAAUGCGUAGAUAUCUGGAGGAAUACCGGUGGCGAAGGCGGCAUCCUGGACCGACAUUGACGCUGAGGAGCGAAAGCUAGGGGAGCAAACGGG
rnacentral:rRNA from 1 species